UCCUGGUUAACCCAGGCAGUCUCAUCAGAGUGCCCAACUUAAUGCUGGCAACUGAUGAUAGGGGUUGCGCUCGUUGCGAGACUUAACCCAACAUUUCACAACACGAGCUGACGACAGCCAUGCAGCACCUCUCACUCUAUUUCCUUGCGGACACUCCAGGCAUUACCCCAGAUUCAGAGGAGUUCAAGCCUAGGUAAGGUUCUGCGCGUUGCUUCGAAUUAAACCACAUAAUCCACCGCUUGUGCGGGCCCCCGUCAAUUUGUUUGAGUUUUAGUCUUGCGACCGUACUUCCCAGGCGGAGCACUUAAUGCGUUAGCUGCGUCACCAAGGGAGUCAAUACCCCUAAUAACUAGUGCUCAUCGUUUACGGCGUGGACUAC
rnacentral:misc_RNA from 1 species